rnacentral:rRNA from 1 species
AUUGAACGCUGGCGGCAGGCUUAACACAUGCAAGUCGAGCGGUAACAGGAGUAGCUUGCUACUCGCUGACGAGCGGCGGACGGGUGAGUAACGCGUAGAAAACUGCCCGGUAGUGGAGGAUAGCCCAGAGAAAUUUGGAUUAAUACUGCAUACGCUCUACGGAGGAAAGCGGGCUUAGGCUCGCGCUAUCGGAUGUGUCUGCGUGAGAUUAGCUAGUUGGUGAGGUAAUGGCUCACCAAGGCGACGAUCUCUAGCUGGUCUGAGAGGAUGAUCAGCCACACUGGGACUGAGACACGGCCCAG